rnacentral:rRNA from 1 species
UGAGGAAUAUUGGUCAAUGGACGCAAGUCUGAACCAGCCAUGCCGCGUGAAGGAUGAAGGCCUUCUGGGUUGUAAACUUCUUUUACCUGGGAAGAAAACUACGAUUUCUAUCGUAGCCGACGGUACCAGAGGAAUAAGCACCGGCUAACUCCGUGCCAGCAGCCGCGGUAAUACGGAGGGUGCAAGCGUUAUCCGGAUUUACUGGGUUUAAAGGGUGUGUAGGCGGGCUUUUAAGUCAGUGGUGAAAUCUCCGGGCUCAACCUGGAAACUGCCAUUGAUACUAUUAGUCUUGAAUUUUGUUGAGGUAGGCGGAAUAAGUCAUGUAGCGGUGAAAUGCUUAGAUAUGACUUAGAACACCAAUUGCGAAGGCAGCUUGCUAAACAAACAUUGACGCUGAGGCACGAAAGCGUGGGGAUCAAACAGG